rnacentral:rRNA from 2 species
GUGUACUGCAUGAGUAGCCGGUGGAAUUGCGUAGAUAUAUGGAAGAACAGCUGUGGACGAAUGACGGCUGUCUGGUCUGCAACUGACGCUGAGGCUCGAAAGCAUGUGUAGCGAUACAUGUAUCAGAUACCCUGGUAGUACAUGCAGUGAACGAUGAAGUGUUAGGUGUUGGAGGGUUUCCGCCUUUCAGUGCCGUAGUUAAUGCAUUAAGCAGUCUGCCUGGGGAGUACGACCGCAAGGUUGAAAUUCAAAGGAAUUGACGGGGGCCGGCACAAGCUGUGGAGCAUGUGGUUUUUUUCUCAUGUCUGCGGAUGACCUUCGGCGGUGUUGCUAUUUUGUGCUAGUCUUAGGGAUUGGGCGUUCUGUUUGGUGGUGCUUUGACCUGUUUUGCGUUGGAUCACUAGUGAGUGGCGGACGGGUGAGUAACACGUAGGUAACCUGCCCCGGAGCGGGGGAUAACAUUUGGAAACAGAUGCUAAUACCGCAUAACAGCAAAAGCCACAUGGCUUUUGUUUGAAAGAUGGCUUUGGCUAUCACUCUGGGAUGGACCUGCGGUGCAUUAGCUAGUUGGUAAGGUAACGGCUUACCAAGGCGAUGAUGCAUAGCCGAGUUGAGAGACUGAUCGGCCACAAUGGAACUGAGACACGGUCCAUACUCCUACGGGAGGCAGCAGUAGGGAAUCUUCCACAAUGGGCGCAAGCCUGAUGGAGCAACACCGCGUGAGUGAAGAAGGGUUUCGGCUCGUAAAGCUCUGUUGUUGGAGAAGAACGUGCGUGAGAGUAACUGUUCACGCAGUGACGGUCUCCAACCAGAAAGUCGAGUGUGGUUACGUGGUAGCAGGGUCGGUCGUACGUAGGUGGCAAGCGUUAUCCGGAUUUAUUGGGCGUAAAGCGAGCGCAGGCGGUUGCUUAGGUCUGAUGUGAAAGCCUUCGGCUUAACCGAAGAAGUGCAUCGGAAACCGGGCGACUUGAGUGCAGAAGAGGACAGUGGAACUCCAUGUGUAGCGGUGGAAUGCGUAGAUAUAUGGAAGAACACCAGUGGCGAAGGCGGCUGUCUGGUCUGCAACUGACGCUGAGGCUCGAAAGCAUGGGUAGCGAACAGGAUUAGAUACCCUGGUAGUCCAUGCCGUAAACGAUGAGUGCUAGGUGUUGGAGGGUUUCCGCCCUUCAGUGCCGGACGCUAACGCAUUAAGCACUCCGCCUGGAGACGCCCGU